rnacentral:lncRNA from 1 species
AGUAAUUGAUAUUCAUGUCAACACCGAAGUGCUGACUACUGGGCUGGUGAUACCCUCAGGGACGAAUUGUCCUCCAGCAGUGGCAUAGACCCAGUGGUGUAAACAGUUAUCAAAGGUACCAGGCUAUAAAUUGGAAACUAUGCAUUCAGACCAAAGAAAAAAGUAAUCAAUUGCACGUCACUGUGCUACCUUCAACAAAAGUAAGACCCAU